UGAUAAGCAUACUUGGAUAGGUCACUGGGAAAAGAAACUACAGGAUCCAACAGAUUUCAUAUGACCCUGUGGUUGUGAUUAUGAAUAAUAUGCUCAAAGAAGUACAGAAUCAAUUUUCUUUUACAUUUUCUUUGUUAAGUUAAAAUUCUACACAGAAGAAAGAUACAUUUAAUGAGUAAAAUCUAUUUAAAAGGCACUCAAGGUGCAUAUUACGUUUAACUAAGAAACCAAAAUAAUCUCGACAGACUGAUAGGAUAGAACCUGCACCUGAAACCAUUAAUAUAUGUAAUAAAGAGAUCAUUAAGAACCAAAAUGCUCUACCAAAAUUCUGGAAGUCAAUGAUGCGAAGGCCAAAACUGGUGUAGAAUUUGUUCGAACCACUUUCCAGAUUUUAACAAAGUCAAACGUUUGCAGCUGCUCGUAUUGCAAUUACAACAUCAAGAAUUUCGCAACCUAGAUCGAAGUACUGAACUAAGACAUGCUAUAGGACAAUAUUUCCUUGGCCAUAAAACUAUUGUAUAAAUAACAUUUAUUCAAAUCAUAUCAAAAUUGGAUUUAUUCAGAACAUAUCUGUACUUUAUCAUAUUAGACUUACAACGAUUCACUAAUAUACAGAUAUUUGAUAUAACUAUAAAACAAGAAUACAUGGACAGUGAAUUCGAAAAAGGACAACACAAAAAAAUUGGCACGAGGGG
rnacentral:lncRNA from 1 species